rnacentral:tRNA from 1 species
GAAAGAAUGUCUGAGAGGUCUAAGGUGUAUGCCUUGAAAGCAUAUUUUCAUUGGUUCAAAUCCAAUUUCUUUCG